UAGGGAAUCUUCCGCAAUGGACGAAAGUCUGACGGAGCAACGCCGCGGGAGUGAAGAAGGAUGUCGGUUCGUAAAACUCUGUUGUUAGGGAAGAAAAAAUGUAUAGUAACUAUAUACAAAAGAGACGGUACCUAACCAGAAAGCCACGGCUAACUACGUGCCAGCAGCCGCGGUAAUACGAAGGUGGCAAGCGUUGUCCGGAAUUAUUGGGCGUAAAGCGCGCGCAGGUGGUUUAGAAAGUCUGAUGUGAAAGCCCACGGCUCAACCGUGGAGGGUCAUUGGAAACUAAUAAACUUGAGUGCAGGAGAGAAAAGUGGAAUUCCUAGUGUAGCGGUGAAAUGCGUAGAGAAUAGGAGGAACACCGGUGGCGAAAGCGGCUUUUUGGCCUGCAACUGACACUGAGGCGCGAAAGCGUGGGGAGCAAACAGG
rnacentral:rRNA from 1 species